rnacentral:rRNA from 1 species
UCGACUCUAAGCAGGUCGAGUAAUAGGGGCGGGAAAUAUCGGUGCCAGCCGCCGCGGUAAUACCGAAGCCCCAAGUGGUCGUCGUUCUUAUUGGGCCUAAAACGUCCGUAGCCGGUUUGGUACAUUCGUGGGUAAAUCAGACAGCUUAACUGUCUGAAUUCUGCGAGCACGGCCAAACUUGAGACCGGGAGAGGUGUAGGGUGCCUGCGGGGUAGGGGUAAAAUCCUGUCAUCCCGUAGGGACCACCAGUUGCGAAGGCUCUACACUAGAACGGAUCUGACGGUCAGGGACGAAGCCUAGGGGCACGAACCGGAUUAGAUACCCGGGUAGUCCUAGGUGUAAACGCUGUGGACUUUGUGUCGGGGAUUCUUCGAGGAUUCUCGGUGCCGGAGUGAAGAUGUUAAGUCCACUGCCUGGGGAGUACGGUCGCAAGGCUGAAACUUAAAGGAAUUGGCGGGGGAGCACUGCAACGAGAGGAGCGUGCGGUUUAAUUGGAUUCAACGCCGGAAAUC